GCGUUUGUGGUGAAAUUGGUAACCACAGGGGACUUAAAAUCCCCCGCCCGUAUAGGGCUUGUCGGUUCGAGUCCGACCAGACGCA
rnacentral:tRNA from 2 species